rnacentral:rRNA from 1 species
AGUGAACGCUGGCGGUAGGCCUAACACAUGCAAGUCGAACGGCAGCACAGUAAGGGCUUGCUCUUACGGGUGGCGAGUGGCGGACGGGUGAGGAAUACAUCGGAAUCUACUUUUUCGUGGGGGAUAACGUAGGGAAACUUACGCUAAUACGGCAUAGGACCUACGGGGGAAAGCAGGGGAUCUUCGGACCUUGCGCGAUUGAAUGAGCCGAUGUCGGAUUAGCUAGUUGGCGGGGUAAAGGCCCACCAAGGCGACGAUCCGUAGCUGGUCUGAGAGGAUGAUCAGCCACACUGGAACUGAGACACGGUCCAGACUCCUACGGGAGGCAGCAGUGGGGAAUAUUGGACAAUGGGCGCAAGCCUGAUCCAGCCAUACCGCGUGGGUGAAGAAGGCCUUCGGGUUGUAAAGCCCUUUUGUUGGGAAAGAAAAGCAGCAGGUUAAUACCCCGCUGUUCUGACGGUACCCAAAGAAUAAGCACCGGCUAACUUCGUG